GGCUAUGGCCGUGGCACGUUGAUACACCCGAUCCCUCAAUCUCAGGAGUUAAGCAACGUGCAGUCAGGUCAGUACUUGGAUAGGAGACCACCAAGGAAGACUUGGUACCAUGAAAG
rnacentral:rRNA from 1 species